AUUGAACGCUGGCGGCAGGCCUAACACAUGCAAGUCGAGCGAGCGGCGGACGGGUGAGUAAUGUCUGGGAAACUGCCUGUUGGAGGGGGAUAACUACUGGAAACGGUAGCUAAUACCGCAUACCAUCAGAUGUGCCCAGAUGGUAUUAGCUAGUUGGUGGGGUAACGGCCCACCUAGGCGACGAUCCCUAGCCGGUCUGAGAGGAUGACCAGCCACACUGGAACUGAGACACGGUCAAGACUCCUAAGGGAGGCAGCAGUGGGGAAUAUGGCACAAUGGGCGGAAGCCUGAUGCAGCCAUGCCGCGUGUGUGAAGAAGGCCUUCGGGUUGUAAAGAACUGUCAGCGGGGAGACGGUACCCGCAGAAGAAGCACCGGCUAACUCCGUGCCAGCAGCCGCGGUAAUAC
rnacentral:rRNA from 1 species